AAAGCAAUUGCGUGCACUGAGGCUAGUUGGUAAAAGCCAGUUGGUUGCGCGUGAAAUGUGGCGUCCAUGUGGAGCUAGACGGCAUCAAGCAAUGCAGGCAAUGAACCCACGUUGACGAAAAAUAAGGCCUCUCCGUCCCCCGAAGUGACUCUACCGAAGAAGAACUGAUUUAUGCCAUUUAAAUCCAUUCUGAAAAAAUGGAACAUAAAAAUAAAGCACCUCGAAGUGUUGUGCAUUCUGUGGAAUUUCUGGAGUAUUCUGUUGACGAGCCCGGUACAUGGUACUCCGAAUUGAGCAAAACUGACCUGGUGCACGGCCUGGAAAUCUUAGAACGUCAAACUAUAAAAUUAAGCAGAAUGAUGUGUUCGUAUUGGCAGCUUGUAGGCGGCACCAUUCUGUGAAUUGGUACUUUGUCAUCAGUGACAGAUCGCUGUCGUGGUUGUGGUGACCGCUGGCCGUAAAAACGCCGUGUUCACUUUUCGUCAGAUUCGCUCGGCAUCUUCUUGCUGUGUAGCGGCAGCA